AUAUUGAAAAUCAACUGGUCCAAACAAUAUUCCACGUUUCAUCAUGGAGAACAAUCAUGAACAUCUUGUGUUUCAAAUGGGAAGAACUCUAGCCAGAGUCUCCAAUUGUUAAUCAUCGUUAUCAUUAUCAGCGUACUGAACAUAGGCCCUGUCAAGGUAAAUCAUUGAAGAGCGCGAUUUUUGGGCUUCAAGUUAUUUUCAACCAGCCUAUUGCACCCUCGGCUAAUAUUAAAAAUUAUUACAUAAAAAAAAAUAGGAAAAUCCGGACUUCAAAAAAAAGAAAAUCGGAUCAUUUGGAGGUAUAAUUAAAAGAGAUCAAAACAUAUUUACUGAAUGGAAAAAAUUGGCAUAAUAUGAAGAAAGGUAAAGAAUUAUUCACAAAGGUAUAUUACAAAAAUAUAAAGAAUCACAUUAAAACAUUGAGAACGUAGCACAGA